AUGGCAACAUCGUCGUCAAAGGCUUUCUGUAGGUUAUCGUCUCGAUUACACUCUCUCCUUAACAACAACAACUUUACCACAAAACCAUCACCACUCUCUCAUCUCAAACCCAAACUUCAAUCUCCACGCCUCUCUCUCGCUUCACGGUUACCGGUGGAGUUGGGUAGCUUGGAAUCAAUGUUGCCGUUGUAUAGCGCUGUUGCUUCUGCUCGAUUAGUUUCGAGCUUGUCCAUUGAGUCUCUUGCUUGGGGUUUAGUUCCUCAAGGUAUUUCCAUGCCUUUAUGA